rnacentral:lncRNA from 1 species
AAGUGUGAGUAGUGUAGAUAAUAGUCUCAUAUUGAUUGGUAAUGUGGAGACUUGAGCAUUUAUAAGUGAGAGAACUCACUCACCUAUCACCUUAAGAUUUUGGGUGAAUAUAUGAUGUGUCUUUCACAAAUGCGUUACUCUAAAAAAAGAAAGUCUCACAAAAUUCAAUACUCCAUAGUGAAAAACUCCACCAUCAGAAAACCCCUGCAUAUAAAUUAGAAACUUGGUUAGGAUAAGAG